rnacentral:rRNA from 1 species
GAGUGGCGAACGGGUGAGUAACACGUGGGUAAUCUGCCCUGCACUCUGGGAUAAGCCUUGGAAACGGGGUCUAAUACCGGAUAUCACAACUUCAGGCAUCUGGGGUUGUUGAAAGUUCUGGCGGUGCAGGAUGAACCCGCGGCCUAUCAGCUUGUUGGUGGGGUAAUGGCCUACCAAGGCGACGACGGGUAGCCGGCCUGAGAGGGUGACCGGCCACACUGGGACUGAGACACGGCCCAGACUCCUACGGGAGGCAGCAGUGGGGAAUAUUGCACAAUGGGCGAAAGCCUGAUGCAGCGACGCCGCGUGAGGGAUGACGGCCUUCGGGUUGUAAACCUCUUUCGCCAGGGACGAAGCGCAAGUGACGGUACCUGGAUAAGAAGCACCGGCUAACUACGUGCCAGCAGCCGNGGUAAUACGUAGGGUGCNGAGCGUUGUCCGGAAUUAUUGGGCGUAAAGAGCUCGUAGGCGGUUUGUCGCGUCGGCCGUGAAAUCUCCACC